AAAAUUCAUAUGGAAAUACAAGGGUCUCUGAAUGGCUAAAACAACUUUGAAAAAAAAUAAAACUGGAGGAUUCACACUUUCUAAUUUCAAAACUUACUAAAAAGCUACAGUAAUCAUGAAUGUGUAGUACUGGCCUAAGGACAAUCAAAGAUCAGUGGAACAGAAUUGAGAGUUCAAAAAUAAUAAACCCAUAUUUUAUGGGCAACUGAUUUUUUUUUUUUUCCUUUGCUUUUUAGGGCCACAUAUGCAACAUACAGAUGUUCCCAGGCUAGGGGUUGAAUCAGAGCAGGAGCUGCCAGCCUACACCACAGUCACAGCAACACAGGAUCUGAGCUGCAUCUGUGACCCACACCACAGCUCAUGGCAAUGCGGGACACCUAACCUGCUGAGUGAGGCCUGGAAUUGAACCUACGCCCUCUAGGGUACUAGUUGGGUUGGUUACCUCUGAGCCACAACAGGAACUCUAAAGGGCAACUGAUUUUUGACAAAGCUGUCAAGACAAUUUAAUGGGAAGAGAAAAGUCUUCUCAACAAAUUGUAUGGGAACAACUAGAUAUCCAUAUGCAAAAAGAAUGAAUUUGGCCCCCUAACUCACACCAUAUUAAAACUCAGAGUGAAUCAAAGAAGUGUUUUGCCAAGGAUGGAGAAAAACUGGAACCCUUGUAUAAUGCCAGGCUGGAAUGAAAAAUGGUGCAGCUGCUGUAUAAAACAAUAAGGUGGCUCCUCAAGAAGUUAAAUCAGAAUUACCACUUGAACAAGCAAUUCUACUUCUGGGUAUAUAUCCACAAGAAGUGAAAGCAAGGCCUUGAGCAGAUAUUUAUUUAUAAGCCCACAUUCAUAGCAGCAUUAUUUACAACAGCUAAGAAAUGGAAGCAAUCCAAGUGUCCACUAAGAGAUGAAUGGAUAAAGAAAAUGUGUCAUAUACAUACAAUAGAAUAUUAUCCAGUCUUAGAAAAGAAGGGAACUAUAUCAUAUGCUACAACAUGGAUGAACCUUAAGGACAUUAUGCUAAAUGAAAUAAGCUGGGCACAAGGAAUUCCUGCUGAUGCAGUGGGUUAAGAAUCUCACUGCAGUGGCUUGGAUCACUGUGAAGGUGUAAGUUUGAUCCCCGGCUAGGCGCAGUGGGUUACAGAUCCAGCAUUACCACAGCUGUGGCAGAGACUGAAGCAGCAGCCUUGUCAAUCCCUCGCCAAGGAACUUCCAUAAGCUGCCCGUGUGGCCAUUAAAAAAAAAAAAAAAAAAAAAACUGGUCACAAAAAGACAAAGUCAACAUUAUUCUACUUACAGGUAUCUAAAGUAGUCAAACUCAUAGACUCAGUUGCCAGGAACUGGAGGAAGGAGAGGUAAAGAGCUGCUAUUCUGUGGGGGGAGAGCUUCAGUCAUGCAGGAUGGGAGGGUUCUGGGGAUUUGCUGUACAACAAUGUGAAAGUAGUUGACACUACUGCACUAUAAAUCUGGAAUUGUUGGGAGGCUAAAUUGAGGAAACUGAAAGUCAAAAGCCUUUCUAGAAAUUUCAGACCGGAUGGAUUCCUUGCAAAAUUCAAAACUAGCUAAAAUAAAAUGUUUGUAAAGUUAGAAAAGGAAAAAGCCAGAGGAUUCACCAUGAACAAGCCAAACCAAAUUACUGCAAUUUCUAUUUUGAUACAUUUACUUCACUGCAGGUAAGCGCUCUGUAAGCACCAUAUAGCUUAAUUAUAGCAAGCCAUUGGCAAAAUCUACCAUGAUGUCCAUACAGGCAAAAUGGCACAUGGACUUGAUAAUAAUAAGUAGAACUAAUAGUUACUCAACAACCACAAUGUAUGGUGACUAAUGAUAAUCUGUAGGGAAUCUAGUUGAGCUACACAAUUCAGAGCCAUCUACUCUGUCAUUUUAAUAUUUUUACCAACAACCUAAAUGAAGAACCAGUAGGUAUGCCUACCAAAUAUAAAAACGACCAAAAAAACUGGAAGUAGAUAGCAUUAAAUGCCUUAACCAUCACUAACAAAAUGAAAUGUAAAAGCAUAAAAUAUUUAAGCUCAAAAAAUUCAUUACAGAAAAUUAGGGUUAGGGAGACUUAGUUUAACAACCUAUGUAUAAAAGAUACGGAGUGUAACUGACACUAAUGGCUCAUAUUAAGCAUAAGUAACAAAAGUUAAAACUGUUGAUGAAAUAUUUGGUUUCAAAAUAACAGCAUUUAGCUCAAGCAAGACAUAUCUACCACACACUGUCUGCUCAAAUAUCAUCUAAAAUGCUGAGUACAGUUCUGAGUACAAUGUUUAAUGACAAGAAACAACUAGAAUUCAUUAAGAGAAAAAUGAUCACGGCUGAAAGAUCAGAGAAUUACCAUUAUCUAAGGAAUGAUUAAAUAAAUGGGGAUUGUUUUACUCUGAAGAAGAGAUGAGAAUGCUCAGAGUGUGUGGUGGGAAAAAAGUUAGCAGGGUCAUGACAGUAGUAUUCAAGUAGUAUAAGGGGCCAUUUAUGUGGAAAAGGAAUUAUACUUGGAGAAAGCAAAAUAUAGUGGGAACAGCAUAAGCUAUGAUGUCAUAAAGACCUGGAUUCAAAUACUGGCUCUAUUAUUUACCAUAUAUUAUUUGAUGCUUAGAAAGAGAUUAAAUUUCCUUACCUGGAAAAUGAUACCUAACUCAUAAAUGAAUAAAAAAUUAAACACAAUUAAGUUAAAAAUGUUUAUAAGUUGCCUGGCAUAGCCUGUCACACUGUGAUGCAAAAUGUUAGUUCUCUUCUCUAGACUUUUCCGAGUUGUUCUAUAAGGGUGUUUUUCAAACUGAGAACCACCCAUUAAUGGAUUAGCAUAUCAGCUCAGCAGUGGUUUGUAACUAGCAUUUUUUUCCUAAAGAAACAGAACAGAAUAGAAAAUAUUAGUGCUUACCACAGGUACUAAGUAGAGUUUUGUGAAACUUUUGUUUCAAUUAUUCAUAUACCUGUGCACUACGCUAUAGCAUAAAAUGUAAUUAUCAUGAAGCGGGGUCCGGAAAAAAAAAAAAAAGCUGUGAAAGCCACUACUCAAAGAACAACCCUACUUUCUAAAUGUGUUCUACAUAUUUUAGUUCCUUGGGAGCACAAUAUAAUAAAUUUAGGAACCAAACCAUACAGUAUUAGAGAUUAUAUUCAAAACAUAUUGGCAUCGAAAAGUCCAGCAUUAAAGAAACCUGUUUUUUUGGUUGUUGCUGAACCUUGUUUUUCCCAUAUUUGAUCUCAGA
rnacentral:lncRNA from 1 species